rnacentral:rRNA from 1 species
UGGGGAAUUUUGGACAAUGGGCGAAAGCCUGAUCCAGCCAUGCCGCGUGAGUGAAGAAGGCCUUCGGGUUGUAAAGCUCUUUUAGUCGGAAAGAAAGAGUUGCAAUGAAUAAUUGUGAUCUAUGACGGUACCGACAGAAAAAGCACCGGCUAACUACGUGCCAGCAGCCGCGGUAAUACGUAGGGUGCGAGCGUUAAUCGGAAUUACUGGGCGUAAAGGGUGCGCAGGCGGUCUUGCAAGUCAGAUGUGAAAGCCCCGGGCUUAACCUGGGAAUUGCGUUUGAAACUACAAGGCUAGAGUGCAGCAGAGGGGAGUGGAAUUCCAUGUGUAGCAGUGAAAUGCGUAGAGAUGUGGAAGAACACCGAUGGCGAAGGCAGCUCCCUGGGUUGACACUGACGCUCAUGCACGAAAGCGUGGGGAGCAAACA